rnacentral:rRNA from 1 species
UACGUAGGGGGCAAGCGUUGUCCGGAAUCAUUGGGCGUAAAGAGCGCGUAGGCGGCCCAGUAAGUCCGCUCUGAAAGUCAGGGGCUCAACCCCUGGAUGCGGGUGGAUACUGCUGGGCUAGAGUCCGGAAGAGGCGAGUGGAAUUCCUGGUGUAGCGGUGAAAUGCGCAGAUAUCAGGAGGAACACCGGUGGCGAAGGCGGUCCUCUGGGCAGUAACUGACGCUGAGGAGCGAAAGCGUGGGGAGCGAACAGG